rnacentral:rRNA from 1 species
UUGAACGCUGGCGGCAUGCCUUACACAUGCAAGUCGAACGGUAACGCGGGGCAACCUGGCGACGGGUGGCGAACGGGUGAGUAAUGCAUCGGAACGUGCCCAGUAGUGGGGGAUAGCCCGGCGAAAGCCGGAUUAAUACCGCAUACGACCUACGGGUGAAAGCGGGGGACCGCAAGGCCUCGCGCUAUUGGAGCGGCCGAUGUCGGAUUAGCUAGUUGGUGGGGUAAAGGCCUACCAAGGCGACGAUCCGUAGCUG